CACGUAGGGUGCGAGCGUUGUCCGGAAUUAUUGGGCGUAAAGAGCUCGUAGGCGGUGUGUCGCGUCGGCCGUGAAAACCUGCAGCUUAACUGUGGGCGUGCGGUCGAUACGGGCAUCACUGGAGUUCGGCAGGGGAGACUGGAAUUCCUGGUGUAGCGGUGGAAUGCGCAGAUAUCAGGAGGAACACCGGUGGCGAAGGCGGUUCUCUGGGCCUUACCUGACGCUGAGGAGCGAAAGCGUGGGGAGCGAACAGG
rnacentral:rRNA from 1 species